rnacentral:rRNA from 1 species
CAAAAGGUUUGUUUGGAAAUCCUGGGGCAUAAAGCGCACGUAGGCGGCUAGGUCCGUCCAAUGUGAAAGCCCCCGGCGCAACCGGGGAAUUGCAUCGGAUACAGCCUGGCUUGAGGACUGUUGGGGUGAGUGGAACUCCUGGUGGAGCGGUGAAAUGCGUAGAUAUCAGGAGGAACACCGGUGGCGAAAGCGGCUCACUGGACCGUUACUGACGCUGAGGUGCGAAGGCGAGGGGAGCAAACGGGAUUAGAUACCCCGGUAGUCCUAGCCGUAAACGAUGGGCACUGGGUAGGGGGGAAGCCUAUGCUCUUCCCUGCCGAAGCAAAUGUGUUAAGUGCCCCGCCUGGGGAGUACGCUCGCAAGGGUAAAACUCAAAGGAAUUGACGGGGGCUCACACAAGCGGUGGAGCAUGUGGUUCAAUUCGAAGCAACGCGAAGAACCUU